rnacentral:lncRNA from 1 species
CAGCAUUCAAGUAUGGGUACAACUGGAGUUAUUUAAAGACCUAAUGGAUGAUGGGAACAACUAAACACAUCAUAAACUAAUGCAGAUAGAUGACUCUGCACAUUGUGAAAUUCUGGCUCAAACAAGGCAGUUUUUCAUGUCUGGUAAAAUGGAUUCCCAUUCUAACAAAGAUGGAAAAUAUGUGAAAACUGUUACAGUAAACAAUAGCAAAGAUGGUAGAUUAUAGCCUGGUGCUGACACAUGCCAAGGUCUGAUGGGAAUUAUGGAAAAACACUGGCAAAGGGCGUGGUAGUUUACAGCCUGGUGCCAAUUGGUCCUAAAGUUUGUUUGCAAGCCAUAAUCCAAAACCUUGUGACAUUUUUUGUGUUUCUUCCUUCCUCGACAGGAAGACGGCACCAUAAAUCUGUUUAUCAUCUCAUAACAAAAGGUUAAUGUGAGACUUUCAGGUAGAGAUAGAAGUCAAUGCAAACAUGGCUCGCUUCUUUUUAUUCCAGAUCGCAGUGCUUUAGGAUGGGGUGGAAGUAAACCUACACAAUGAUGGUGUGCUAGGGUGAACAGUUUGACUAAACAGGAUAAGCAGGAAAAAAACAGGACAUGAAUUGUUUAAGAGUGACUUUGACAAGGGCCAAACAGUAACUUUACAAGAUCAUCUCCAAAUCUGCAGCUCUUCAUAGGUGUCCCUCGGUCAGCAGAGCUCAGUACCUGCCACAUGUGUUCUGAGGAAGGUAAAACAGAAAACCAGCAAGCAGGUGAUCAUGAAGAGCUCCCCUCAUCAUGAGUGUGUUUCAAGUGCAAGGUGAUUAUGUAGCCCUCUGAUAUGAAAUCAUUUUGCCUCUUAUGGUUUCUUUUCAAAAUAACAUUUUCACAAAAACACAUUUCAAACAAAUCAAACAUCAGCAUUAUAAUCUUAAUGUCUUAAUCUAACUCAACCCAGAGGUUUAUGAGCAAAUGAAAUGGUCAGGAAAAUAUUUAAAUUGUGUAAGAUGUUAAUAAUAAAUGCAGCAACUGAGCCGUGUUAACUGAAUUUGGUUGCUGCUCUCGCUCUCUCUUCUUUGGCUUCAUCUAGUGGAGGAGUAGUGUGCUGCACAGCGAGAUGGUGUAGAAGGGCUGUAUGUUAGAUAUCACAGUGGUAAUUUUUUUUUUCUUUUUAUAUACAGAGUCAUUUAACCUUAUCUGCAAAGUUGCAGUGUUUUCUGUGAAAGUAAAGGACCAAAAAAGGGGAAAGGUUCAGGCAAAUAUUUGAAGUAAGUAUUAAGAAGAAAAACAAAGUCUUUUUAAAAUUAGUUUUGUAGUUGGGUUAUUACAAGACAAGACUCACUCUGUUAAAGCAUUAAAGUCUGCCAUAAGGCAUGUCUCUGUUGAAUAGCUAUAAAAAAGGCAGUGAUUGAAGGUCUGAAGCUUUGUUUUAUUCUAACUUUUUGCACAACUACCAUUUUACAUCCAAGGUUAUGCAGUCAAAACUUUAUAACGUAGCUCAUGGGGGUUUGGUCAAAGUAACUGAGAGGUUACUGUUAUGUACACAUAAUGAUAAGAUUUUUUGACCAAGGUGGAUCAUGACCUCCUUUAGAAAAGUAAAAACUGUGAUUAAUUGUUGGUGAAAAGUUAUGAGGUGUUUUAUCAGAGGCUGUAAAUUUCAUGUGAUACUCAUUCCUUCAGAGUGGUUACAGAUAUCAAGAAUAAAAGUAUAAAACUUGUCUUUUUUUGUCAUUCUUUGUCUGAUUGCUUUUUCAAGUCAUAGUAGAUAUAAUAUUUUCUGUUUGAGCUGUACACCUUUUGAGUUCAAAACAGACACAGAGAAACUGCUGUGUUACUUACGUAAAAGUAAAAUGAGGCGAGCCAAGCAAGAGAAGGAAAACAAGCUUUUUUCUGCAUUUUCAUCCGCUCUUAUGUGUCCUUUGGGGACCCAGAAUGUCUUCAGACUGUGUCCAGCACACUGUUCCACUGAUAGUUUGUUUAUACUCUGGUUUAAUGUUCAUACUGGGACUGAUACUCCAAUGCAGUUUAAAUCUGUAAACUUUAGUCCAAACAAUAAUCCACUUUCCCAUGUUGAACCAGAGACUACUUCGACUUCAAUAUCAACAACAGAGUUCAGCCUCAGUAUUUAGUUUACUUCUUCUAUUCUGAGUACAGUGGCUUUUACAUUACAAUUAAAACUCCCAAACACACAGACAUUAGAUGUUGAGCCUCCAAAUCGGAGAACUCCAACUAUGACUUAUUUGAUUUCCCUUCAAGAUGUUGGGAAAAGCAAGAGGAAGGAAAAAACUGAGUAAUAUUCAUCAUAUACAAAAUGAUCACAAGAUGACAUUCAGAAGCCAUUGAAAAUCAAAACAACAAUAAAAUAAAAAGCAGAAAAGUUUAAAAUAUACUACGACUUGCAGUUUAAACAUUAAAUCUGAAAAGUCACAAUUAUAUUUUAUGAUUAAAUUUGAAAAUAGAACCCUGGCGAUUGGCUGCGGACUCCGCUGAACAGCAGCCGAACAGAAAGAAACCGGUGGAAACCGACACAUUAACUUGAAUGGAAACUAUCAGUUGCGAUUGGCGCAUAUGUCCUUCUCGACGCUGUUCCAGAUGCAGUGGAAAUUGGGAGUAAGAGUUGGGUCCAGACUCUGGUGACAAUGAGCAUGCCUGCUCCUGAUAAUUUAAUUGAUCUGGAUGAACCACCCACUCAUGAUCCCAACUCUGAUCCAGCUAGCUUGUUAGGAAAUACACAAAUUAACACACAUAUAAAAUGAAAGAUGAUUUUGUGAUCCACAGUGUGAGUUUUUUACAGCAGUUUUUCAGUAAAAUUUUAAGAAGAACCUAAGUGGCUGUAGUGCAGUAGACCCAUCAACAGUCAUCUGACAGUGAUUUACUUUUAGAUCAGCAGGCAUCAGUAUGGGACUCAGCUGUUCACUAUCAAAUGUGGUCUCUCUCUCUCUUCCUUCCUUCUUUCUCACUCUUCAAGUCAAUGGCCUUUAACCAUGGCAGCACAUUGAAAGGGAAGUUUUGGCUGGAAGUCUGUCAUCGCUAUAGCUGCUGCCUACAACUCAAACCCCAUAAAGGCUGGACAGUCAUCGGACAGUAGCUGAUUGGUCCUGAGACCAUAUGUUGAUGGGUUUUUUUCUGCUUUCAUUGACUAAAAGAGAGCUCUGUGUUGUGAUGCAGGUCCUCAAAGCUCUGCUCGUAAACUCUUGACACAAAAGCUAUCAGUCCCCACGCUCAGUCAAACGGUUAGGGCUUCUUUAAUGUGCAGUCAGCAGUUUUGAGGCGAGAAAGGGAAUUACCAUGGAGAAUGUUCAAAGUCUCUGUGAUUAGCAAGAAGGAAUAAGCUCUUUCUGCAAACUGGCCUCCCAAGUCCAGAGUAUGUAUGUGAGAGUUAUGCAGUAGAAGUUUAGGGAAUGGCUAUCACAGAUUUCUCUGUUUUCUCAUAAAUAUGUCUGAGGUAAGGUCUUCUUUUAUUGAUCAUACUUUGCUCUUUGUUGUUCAGCUAAAGUGUAAUUGUUCAAAACUACAUUAUUUGUUGCAACACCUUCACAUCUAUGUUGAUUGUCUUAGUUGUUGUGUUAGCAUCAGAACAAGUAACUUGAACUAGCCAGUGAGGCAGCUUGGGAAGUGGAAGAGGAUGUUUGUCUGCAGACAGAGGCAGGAACUAUUUAAGAUGUCUCAGGGUGUGUUGCCUGUUACAUGUUGUGCACCAGUUAAGAAAAUACUACCGUAUGGAUUAAAUUUGAUGUGAAGAAUAGACUCUUCAGUUGUACAUGUUGGGUCUCAUGAGAAGACUCAUGUUACCCUUUCUGGUAUCCUUGAGGUCGAUUUGAUACCAUCCAGUGUUUAAAGAUACCAUGAGAAACCUUCGGACUGUAUUGAUUUUAGAGUCCCCGAACUCUUGACUGAUAUUGACCCAUUCUUGUGUUUGUGGUGUGUGGAAAUUUCACAUCAUUUUUUAUCUGUCAAAUGUACCACUCUGAUAAUUUUUUCUUAUGAAAAUUGUAAACAAAGGCCAUCUUGGUAAACUGUAGGCAAAUGCUUCAUCAUCAGGCUUUAACAACAACAAUAUAGAAGUGAGAUAUGUCAGUCAUAGUCUCAGUUGCUUUUGUUAUUCACAAAAAAAUGUGUUGGAGAAUCUAUAUCUGUCUAUUUUAAAGCCAAUGGAAAACCUCCUCACAGGAGCUUUAACUUCUCUGAAUUAAUCGAUCUAGCUUUUUCUAGCUUUUUCCUUGAAUAUUUGAUGACCUAGUGGGGCAAAUGGAUAAGUUAACAUCAUGAUGUACUUUUAAUGCCAGUACACACCCAGACUGCUCUAUUAGUCUUAACCAUAUAAGAAAUAACACUUUACACACAUUUGGUUUAGUUGUUUUGGUUGACACUGAGGUUACGAUGACAUGCAAGGUAAACAAAAAGAAAGAAAACCUUCUCCUGCUUUAGGGCCCUAACCCAACAUUGCUAUGAUGCAAGAUCCUCAAAUACUCCCCAAGAUAUGGAAAGAGAAACACCAUCAAGAACAUGGAUUUUUCCUGGGACAGGGUGGAGAAGGCAUAUGGUUCCACACAAGGACAAUCAUUAUUCAUACAACACAAAUUGUUCUGUGUGCAUUGACCACAUGCUCUCUUUUAAAUGAAAAUGGCGUUCAAGAGAAGGUUUAAAAUUGUUUUAUGGCUCUUGGACAGUGAAGCCUUUCUCAACGUUUGAAAUAAUGGGUACUUCCACUGGCCAAUAUUGACAGUGUGUGUUUUUCCUAGCUCUAGGAAUGCUAAAGCUAACUCGAGCUGGACACACACAACAAGUCAAUCAUUUAGUUUUAUCUCAAUCUGCAAAUUUUCUGAUUGACACAUAUAAAGUUUUGUUGAUGUGUAAAGGGUGGGGAGGGAUUAUGUUGUAAAAGAGCAAUUCAGGUAGUCAACAAAGAAACAUUAUGCACCUCAUUCAGAAACUGGGGUGACAACUCUGAUUGUGGUCAUUUUAAAAAGAUUUAAAUCACUGGAGUCAGUUUGAUUCAAAGGAUACAGGCUGUCAGUGGAUAUAGAUUAAAUCCCCUCUCCCUUCUCAGAAAAAGAGACUCAACUCUUAUCCAGAAGAGAUUUCAAUCAACUUCGGCAUUACAUAAUUUCCUUGGUUGCCUCCUAACCUUGUGGGUGACGUUUGGUUGAAAAUUUCACUUGCUUUUGCUUUUUUUAUUUCUGUGUUUACAAAAAAAACUUUGAUGCCAACCCAACAUUCACAAUAAAACCUAAAAGUCCCCUUAUGGCGCUCAAAAACCCGUUUUGACAGUCUAAAUCAAUCUAUCCCAAUCAUGUCAGUGAGAGAAAAUACCUUUGGUGCAGCACACUGAACUCAGUUUACUCACACAACACUGACUCCCGAUACAACUCUAAGGGUUUGCUUUGUCUCCAUCUAGAUGAAUUGAUGGAUGUGAAUCAGUGAUGUGGACUAAACUGGAGCCAGACUACUUUGGCUGUUCUUUGAAAGUGUAACACAAUGAAUGACUUACAUCAUAUAUGCAUUGAACAGUCUAAUUGUCCAAGGUCUUUGUUUUUCUAUGGGAGCUCAUCCAGAAGUUCAGGUCUUGGCCAGAUCAAGCCACUCCAGCUCCGAAUUGGGUUUUCAGUAAUUGUUCUGAUUGAGGAAGCAUGAACACAAAGAGCUUAUGCAAUAGUUACUCAAUCCUUCUCACUAUUGGAUCCUUUUUGAGGCCAGUUUGGUUUGAUUAGAGAAAAAAAAAAUGAAAAUAAGCCUUUAGGUGGAUGGGCUUGGAAGAGGGUCAGUGAUUAUUUACAAUUAGAAAAACAGUGCAUAUAGAGUGCCAAGGACAUCCUUCAUGGAUAGAAAACAAACAUAUUCUUUCUAAAAAUACCACUUUUGGGUGGAGACACACAGAAAUAGAGACAUAAGUUUAUUGUUUCUGUUCCUUUUCCUCGGUUAUGUAACUGCUGAAUAAAUGUGAGACAGGAAUGUUCUGAGCUGAAGUACACACAGUUAAUAACAUGUUGGCAUUUACAUAACACUUUUAUUGUUCCACUUUCCCAAUAUUUUUUUUUUUUGUUUUUGACAAAUGGUUAUUUCAUGACAAAGAAAAUGUGGUUCAUGUUUAUUUUCUACAUUCAAAUCACAAUUUCUGUUUUCAGUCUUGCCUAGUGAAUCGGUUGAAAAAAUGAUAUUAUGAGACAGCUAUCAUCUUAUUUUUUUAAUGUUAUCUUUUUUAUCUUACUCUAAUCCUAUUUUUACCAUAAAGGAAGACUAAAGUUUUAUAUUUAUCACAAAAGUCAUAUAUUAUUACCUGACAAUGCAAAUAUUUAGACACGUCAAAACAGACAACCGGCCAGAUACCAAGAACAACCUUGAGAAUUUAUAACGUCUUGUCUGUUAAUUUCUUUACAUCUUCAGAUAGGAUGGAAAACAGUGCAAGAAAAAGAAAUGUCGAUGGAUUUUCUGAGCCUGCUGUGGCCAUGUAAAAACAAAAGAUUAAUGAUUCGGGAGAGGAUAACAAAACAAAACAAAACAAAGAUUUGUCACCCAAAACGGUUUUCCCAGUGGAUUUAUUUAUCAUCAUGUUGCUGCUGUUGAGAUUUUCAGAUAAGACCUCAUUUUUUUUCAAAUUGGAACAGCCUUCAGUUGGUUAAAUCUCUGCUGCUGUUUAACUAUACAUCUGAAGAAGUUUUGGUUAAUGUUUUCCCCUCCGAGUUCUGAGUUGUCUGAAGUCCAUACUUCUUGCAGUUUAAGUUAUGCAGAAACCCAAACUUUCUAUUGACCCUUGAGCUCAACUCUGCAAUAGGAUGCAAUCACAGCUCUCAUUCAGGCAUAUUGUUAACUUCUUUAUCAAUGUAGCUGUACCAUUCAUCUGCUUCAUUGACACUUAGUCCUUAACUGAUGUAUGGUUCAUAUUAGUUUGUCAUAAAAGAUUUGUAGUGUUAUCAAGAUCACAUGAACCUUUAUGUUUCACUGCAGUGCGGCUGUAAUUUAGCCACCUUUUCUUACAUCAUGGUCAUAUUGAAUGCUGGAUGUCACAAAACAUCCUGUACUUAUGUUUAUUUCUAGGGAACCUUGACCCAUGAACUGAAAAUAUAUAUAUUUGCAAUUUUUCCUAAAUAUUAAAAAGUCAACAUAAUUACAAUAUGAUCUUUGUCCCAAAGCUUUACUUUUAUUUACAAGUCACCAAGGCAGUCCAUCUCAGAAAUCCUAAAAAAGUUACAUAUUUUCCAUGAGCCCAGCCAGUGCCUCUCUCUGAGUUCAUCUUGCUUAGGAAAAAAAAAAAACUGGAUCCGUUAAGUUUAGCUCAGUGCUCUCAGUCGGUCUCAUCUAAAAAUUCCAUCCACAAAAAGGCCGUUUUGGAAGUGAGUGCCUCUGCUUUGGUCUACCUCUGACAUCUUGCAAAGAUUUUCAUGAGAAAUGAAUAAAUGAAUUCUUGUCUGAAUCUUGUUAAAUUUCAGCCACAAUCACAGUCCUAAAAUUGGUGGCAACC